GACGAACGCUGGCGGCGUGCUUAACACAUGCAAGUCGAACGGAAAGGCCCCUUUGGGGGUACUCGAGUGGCGAACGGGUGAGUAACACGUGAGUAACCUGCCCUUGACUUCGGGAUAACUUCAGGAAACUGGGGCUAAUACCGGAUAGGAAUCCUUGCUGCAUGGUGGGGGUUGGAAAGCUUCGGCGGUUUUGGAUGGACUCGCGGCUUAUCAGCUUGUUGGUGGGGUAGUGGCUUACCAAGGCUUUGACGGGUAGCCGGCCUGAGAGGGCGACCGGCCACAUUGGGACUGAGAUACGGCCCAGACUCCUACGGGAGGCAGCAGUGGGGAAUAUUGCACAAUGAGCGGAAGCCUGAUGCAGCAACGCCGCGUGCGGGAUGACGGCCUUCGGGUUGUAAACCGCUUUCAGCAGGGGCGAAGCUUGUGGUGACGGUACCUGCAGAAGAAGCACCGGCUAACUACGUG
rnacentral:rRNA from 1 species